UGGAGAGUUUGAUCCUGGCUCAGAUUGAACGCUGGCGGCAGGCCUAACACACGCAAGUCGAGCGGCAGCGGGAAAGUAGCUUGCUACUUUUGCCGGCGAGCGGCGGACGGGUGAGUAAUGCCUGGGGAUCUGCCCAGUCGAGGGGGAUAACUACUGGAAACGGUAGCUAAUACCGCAUACGCCCUACGGGGGAAAGCAGGGGACCUUCGGGCCUUGCGCGAUUGGAUGAACCCAGGUGGGAUUAGCUAGUUGGUGAGGUAAUGGCUCACCAAGGCGACGAUCCCUAGCUGGUACUGAGAGGAUGAUCAGCCACACUGGAACUGAGACACGGUCCAGACUCCUACGGGAGGCAGCAGUGGGGAAUAUUGCACAAUGGGGGAAACCCUGAUGCAGCCAUGCCGCGUGUGUGAAGAAGGCCUUCGGGUUGUAAAGCACUUUCAGCGAGGAGGAAAGGUUGGCAGCUAAUAACUGCCAGCUGUGACGUUACUCGCAGAAGAAGCACCGGCUAACUCCGUGCCA
rnacentral:rRNA from 1 species